ACCGGCAGCUCAAGUGGUGGCCAUUUUUAUUGGGCCUAAAGCGUUCGUAGCCGGUUUGAUAAGUCUCUGGUGAAAUCCCGCAGCUUAACUGUGGGACUUGCUGGAGAUACUAUUAGACUUGAGGUCAGGAGAGGUUAGGGGUACUCCCAGUGUAGGGGUGAAAUGCGUAAAUACUAGGAGGAACACCAGUGGCGAAGGCGGCUUACUGGACUGAACCUGACGCUGAGGUACGAAAGCGUGGGGAGCAAACCG
rnacentral:rRNA from 1 species